UACGUAGGCAGCGAGCGUUGUUCGGAGUUACUGGGCGUAAAGAGUGCGUAGGCGGCGCGGUAAGUCGGGUGUGAAAUCUCGGAGCUUAACUCCGAAACUGCAUUCGAUACUGCCGUGCUUGAGGACUGGAGAGGAGACUGGAAUUUACGGUGUAGCGGUGAAAUGCGUAGAUAUCGUAAGGAAGACCAGUGGCGAAGGCGGGUCUCUGGACAGUUCCUGACGCUGAGGCACGAAGGUCAGGGGAGCAAACGGG
rnacentral:rRNA from 1 species